GACGAACGCUGGCGGCGUGCCUAAUACAUGCAAGUUGAGCGCUGAAGGUUGGUACUUGUACCAACUGGAUGAGCAGCGAACGGGUGAGUAACGCGUGGGGAAUCUGCCUUUGAGCGGGGGACAACAUUUGGAAACGAAUGCUAAUACCGCAUAAAAACUUUAAACACAAGUUUUAAGUUUGAAAGAUGCAAUUGCAUCACUCAAAGAUGAUCCCGCGUUGUAUUAGCUAGUUGGUGAGGUAAAGGCUCACCAAGGCGAUGAUACAUAGCCGACCUGAGAGGGUGAUCGGCCAAAUUGGGACUGAGACACGGCCCAAACUCCUACGGGAGGCAGCAGUAGGGAAUCUUCGGCAAUGGACGAAAGUCUGACCGAGCAACGCCGCGUGAGUGAAGAAGGGUUUCGGAUCGUAAAACUCUGUUGGUAGAGAAGAACGUUGGUGAGAGUGGAAAGCUCAUCAAGUGACGGUAACUACCCAGAAAGGGACGGCUAACUACGUG
rnacentral:rRNA from 1 species